GUAUAAACACGUCAUGAAUGGCUGGGCACCGUCACUCAUGCCUGUAAUCCCAGCACUUUGGGAGACAAAGGCAGGUGGAUCACCUGAGGUCGGGAGUUCCAGACCAGCCUAAUAGAGUGAAACCCUGUCUCCACUAAAAAUACAAAAAUUAGCCAUGCCUGGUGGCACAUGCCUGUAGUCUCAGCUACUCGGGAGGCUGAGACAGGAGAAUUGCUUGAACCCAGGAGGCGGAGGUUGCAGUGAGCCGAGAUCAUGCCACUGCACUCCCGCCUGGGUGACAGAGGUAGAAUCUAACUAAAAAAAAAAAAAAAAGUUAUUAAUUAUUUCUGAAGAUUGUAUGAAAUUUAUAAAAGUCUGGUGGCCCUGAUAUGAUGCUGCCAGUCAUGAUUCUGAUUACUGUCUUAAAAUGCUGCACGUAAGUAAUUAAAUUUCCUUGUGAACUGGGAAGUUUCAUCAGACUUCUAUCAUAACUAUUGUUUCCAUCAUCCACAGUUACUAUUUUGAAUUCUUCUCUAAAAAUAUUUGUAAUUGGCAAUAGUCCAAAUUUUCUUUUGUUUUCUUUCCUGUUUUUGAGACACAGUCUGGCUCUGUUGCCUAAGCUGGAGUGCAGUGGUGGGAUCUCGGCUCACUGCAAGCUCCGCCUCCCGGGUUCACACCAUUCUCCUGCCUCAGCCUCCCAAGUAGCUGGGACUACAGGUGCCUGCCACCACGUCCAGCCAAUUUUUUGUAUUUUUAGUAGAGACAGGGUUUCACUGUGUUAGCCAGGAUGGUCUCAAUCUCCUGAUCUCGUGAUCUCUGCGCCUCGGCCUCCCAAAGUGCUGGGAUUACAGGUGUGAGCCACCGUGCCCAGCCUAAUUUUUGCAUUUUUAGUAGAGAGGAGGUUUCACCAUGUUGGCCAGGAUUGUCUCCAUCUCCUGACCUUGUAAUCCACCUGCCUCGGCCUCCCAAAGUGCUGGGAUUACAGGCGUGAGCCACUGCAACUGACUUUUUUUCUUUUCCUUUUUUUUUUGUUUUUUGAGACAGAGACUCACUCUGUCACCCAGGCUGGAGUGCAGUGGCAUGAUUUCGGCUCAUUGCAACCUCCACCUCCUGAGUUCAAACAAUUAUCCUGCCUCAUCCUUCAGAGUACCUGGGAUUACAGGUGUGUGCCACCGUGCCCGGCUCAUUUUUGUAUUCUUAGUAGAGACGGCAUUUCGCCAUGUUGGCCAGGCUGGUCUCAAACUCCUGGCCUCAACUGAUCCACUCUCAUUGGCCUUCCAAGGUGCUGGGAUUAUAGGCGUGAGCCACUACAACUGGCUCAGUAAAUACAUUUUUUAUUAUCAAAAAAGAGCAGUGUAUGGUUGGCAUAUUCUGUGUAGAAUGUAUUUUAUUGAUGUCUCCUAUUUUUAUAAUUUGCGAGUUAAGUACUUUUUAAUUAAUGCUUUUUAGUUUUGGGCAGAUUCAGUUGACUAAAGCACCUCAUUUCCCCGAUACAUGAAAUAAAAUAUUUGGCUUCUUUUCCAAUUUCACACUGAUGUUAUUUUGUGAAAAUCAGUGCUUUAAGAUAAAUCUUUAUACGUUAAGGUAAACAUGAGAAACUUGAUCUAAUAUUUAAUAUUUAUUCAGUUCUACACUUUAUUAACUUGUACACCAGCAGAUUUAAACAUUAUGUAACUAUCUCAAGAAGUUUCACUUGGAUGUAAUGCUUCACGCUUGUAAUCCCAGCACUUUAGGAGGCUGAGGUGGGAGGACUGCUUAAGGCAAGGAGUCUGAGACCAGUCUGGGCAAUACAGCAAGAUCCCAUCUCUAUUUUAAAGAAAAGUUUCACUUUGGGAGGCCAAGGCGGGUGGAUCACAAGGUCAGGAGAUCGAGACCAUCCUGGCUAACAUAGUAAAACCCCAUCUCUACUAAAAAUAUAAAAAAUUAG
rnacentral:lncRNA from 1 species